CAACCAUCAAGCCCUAGGCUUGUGUUGGGGCCCUGCGGCUGCCGCAGGCCCUGAAAAACAGUGGCGGGCUCGCUGUCACACCGAGCGUAGUAAAACAUCUCGCUUUGGACGUGCGGCGGGUUCUUGCCGUUAAACCCCCCCCCUUCUCAA
rnacentral:misc_RNA from 1 species